rnacentral:lncRNA from 1 species
GAACAGGGCAGUCCGGCCACUCCGGCAGAACAGGGCAGUCCGGCCACUCCGGCAGAACAGGGCAGUCCGGCCACUCCGGCAGAACAGGGCAGUCCGGCCACUCCGGCAGUUCAGGGCAGUCCGGCCACUCCGGCAGUUCAGGGCAGUCCGGCCACUCCGGCAGUUCAGGGCAGUCCGGCCACUCCGGCAGUUCAGGGCAGUCCGGCCACUCCGGCAGUUCAGCGCAGUCCGGCCACUCCGGCAGUUCAGCGCAGUCCGGCCACUCCGGCAGUUCAGCGCAGUCCGACCACUCCGGCAGUUCAGCGCAGUCCGGCCACUCCGACGACUGUUGACUGGCGGGCAGCUCCGACGACUGUUGACUGGCGGGCAGCUCCGACGACUGUUGACUGGCGGGCAGCUCCGACGACUGUUGACUGGCGGGCAGCUCCGACGACUGUUGACUGGCGGGCAGCUCCGACGACUGUUGACUGGCGGGCAGUUCCGACGACUGUUGACUCCUGAUGCGUGGGGCAGCUCCGACGACUGUUGACUGGCGGGCAGCUCCGACGACUGUUGACUGGCGGGCAGCUCCGACGACUGUUGACUGGCGGGCAGCUCCGACGACUGUUGACUGGCGGGCAGCUCCGACGACUGUUGACUCCUGAUGCGUGGGGCAGGUAUUGGACGUACCAGCCUGGAGACACGCACCUCCAUGCUAGUGUGUCUAGCGGGAAACACCGGACCGAAAGGGCGCACUGGCGGUCUUGAGUGCAGGGUUGGCAUCACCCCUUCCGGCUCGAUGCUCCCCUUGCCCUGGCACCUGCGGGGCGCUGGUACUGGGCGCACUGGGCUGUGCGUCCGUAUAGGCGAGAUGGUGCGCACCUCAGCGUAACAUGACGCCCUCCACCUCGUACGCACCUCCCUGUAGUCACGGGUAGCUGGCUUACGGCUCUUCCCUGGCCUGGCCAAACUACCCGUGUGCCCCCCCCAAAAAAAAAUCUUGGGGCUGCCUCUCGGGUUCCCUUAGCUCCCUUAACUUGUCCGCCCAGAAUUUUCUUUCGUCCUGCCAGGUCCAUUCUUCCAUUUCCUUCUCCUGUGGCUUCCUCCUCUUCUGCUGCUUGGUCCUUUGGUGGUGGGUAGUUCUGUAACGG